rnacentral:rRNA from 1 species
UACGUAGGGUGCGAGCGUUGUCCGGAAUUAUUGGGCGUAAAGAGCUCGUAGGUGGUUUGUCGCGUUGUUCGUGAAAACUCACAGCUCAACUGUGGGCGUGCGGUCGAUACGGGCAUCACUGGAGUUCGGCAGGGGAGACUGGAAUUCCUGGUGUAGCGGUGAAAUGCGCAGAUAUCAAGAGGAACACCUGCGGCGAAGGCGGGUUGCUGGGCCGACACUGACGCUGGAGGCGCGAAAGCUAGGGGAGCGAACGGG